rnacentral:rRNA from 2 species
AGCUAAUACCGGAUAAUCCUUUCCUACUCAUGUAGGAAAGCUGAAAGACGGUUUACGCUGUCACUUACAGAUGGGCCCGCGGCGCAUUAGCUAGUUGGUGAGGUAACGGCUCACCAAGGCGACGAUGCGUAGCCGACCUGAGAGGGUGAUCGGCCACACUGGGACUGAGACACGGCCCAGACUCCUACGGGAGGCAGCAGUAGGGAAUCUUCCGCAAUGGACGAAAGUCUGACGGAGCAACGCCGCGUGAGUGAUGAAGGUUUUCGGAUCGUAAAACUCUGUUGUUAGGGAAGAACAAGUACGAGAGUAACUGCUCGUACCUUGACGGUACCUAACCAGAAAGCCACGGCUAACUACGUGCCAGCAGCCGCGGUAAUACGUAGGUGGCAAGCGUUGUCCGGAAUUAUUGGGCGUAAAGCGCGCGCAGGCGGUCCUUUAAGUCUGAUGUGAAAGCCCACGGCUCAACCGUGGAGGGUCAUUGGAAACUGGGGGACUUGAGUGCAAAGAGAAAGUGGAAUUCCACGUGUAGCGGUGAAUGCGUAGAGAUGUGGAGGAACACCAGUGGCGAAGCGACUCUUUGGUCUGUAACUGACGCUGAGCGCGAAGCGUGGGAGCAACAGGAUUAGAUACCCUGGUAGUCCACGCCGUAAACGAUGAGUGCUAAUGUUAGAGGGUUCCGCCCUUAGUGCUGCAGCAACGCAUUAGCACUCCGCUGGGAGUACGGCGCAAGCUGAACUCAAGGAUU